rnacentral:rRNA from 1 species
UGGGGAAUAUUGCACAAUGGGCGAAAGCCUGAUGCAGCGACGCCGCGUGAGGGAUGACGGCCUUCGGGUUGUAAACCUCUUUCAGCAGGGACGAAGCGCAAGUGACGGUACCUGCAGAAGAAGCACCGGCUAACUACGUGCCAGCAGCCGCGGUAAUACGUAGGGUGCAAGCGUUGUCCGGAAUUACUGGGCGUAAAGAGUUCGUAGGCGGUUUGUCGCGUCAUUUGUGAAAACCAGCAGCUCAACUGCUGGCUUGCAGGCGAUACGGGCAGACUUGAGUACUGCAGGGGAGACUGGAAUUCCUGGUGUAGCGGUGAAAUGCGCAGAUAUCAGGAGGAACACCGGUGGCGAAGGCGGGUCUCUGGGCAGUAACUGACGCUGAGGAACGAAAGCGUGGGUAGCGAACAGG